UGCCUAAGGUGGGGUAGAUGAUUGGGGUGAAGUCGUAACAAGGUAUCCCUACCGGAAGGUGGGGAUGGAUCACCUCCUUUCUAUGGAGA
rnacentral:rRNA from 1 species